GGCAUUGUGGUUGAGGCGGUCUCUGAAUGGAAGAACGCUGAUAAGUUUCGGGAAGAUGGCACGGCUCUGCAGAAGGCCUUGGCAACUUUCUUACUGCUCAUCAAAUUAGUAUUCGGUGCUCUCAGCGUCUUCAGCUUCUUGGUCUUUGUGUACUCUCUGCCAUCGCGCUUCAAGAGCCUAAGUAUGAUAAUGUGUUUCCUAUGUCUCUGUGGAGCUCUAUACUUUGGAGAUGUCAUUCGGACUUGAGGUCUGCGGGGUUUGCGAUUUUGCACACUAGUAUAUAUCGGUUAGGAAAAGAUGGG